GGGAAACUGUUGCCAACAAGG
rnacentral:piRNA from 1 species